rnacentral:lncRNA from 1 species
UAUCAGCCCAAUUCUUUCUCGAAUUUUGAAAAUAUCUCUUAAACGAUCUCAUACAUAUCCCUUUCCAUUCAAAAUUCGAUUUCGGAUUUUGAAUCUCCAACCAACUCCUUAAAUAUCAUUUUCUCAACGAAUCACAUGCACAUCCCCAAAAUUCAAGUUUGAACUUCAAAACAUUCAAAUUUCGAAUUUUUGAACUCCCAACCAACCCUCAACAACUCGAUUCAAAAUUCGAUUUGAAUCCCCAACCGACUCCUCAAAAUAUUUCUCGCCCAACCCCACGAAUCGCUCCGACUCAUCAGAUUUCCCCUUCUACUAUAAAUAUGAGGAUAAAAAAAGAUGAUACAUAGAGAUAGAGGAAGUGAUAGAGAGAGGAUAGCGAUACAGAGGGGUUAAUUACAUCAUUGGUCCCCAACCUUUACACCAUUUUUCAAUUUGGCUCCCAACCUUUAUUUUUUUGCAAUCAAGUCCCUAAUCUUUGGAUUUUAUUAUAAUUACGUCCCAGCCAUUAAAAAAACUAUUAGAAUUAACGGAAUCGCCACAUCAGCGCCUAUCUGUCAUCUCUUUUGCAUGUUCAUUUUAGUCCCUAAACUUUGCAUGUUUUUUAUUUUAGUACAUAAAAAUAAAAAUUUUAAAUUUUAAAUUUAAAUUCAAAAAUAUUAUUAAAAUUAAAAUUUUAAAACUAACGAGAAAUUAGAAUUUUGAAAUUGUAUUUAAUGUUGGAUUAAACUUUUGAAUUGAAAUUCAAGUUUUAAAUUUGAAUUUUAAAUUGAAUCUAAAUUUUGAAUUCAAACUCAAAAUUUUGAUUUUGAUUUUGAUAUUUCAAUUUACAUUUAAAAUAAAAGUUUGGAAACUUAAAAUUUUGAUUUUGAUUUUGAUAUUUCAAUUUACAUUUAAAAUAAAAGUUUGGAAACUGAAAUUUAAAUUUAAAAUAUGAAGUUAAAUUUAAAAUCAUAUUCAAAAUUUUGAUUUUAAAUUUUAAAUUUGAAUUCAAAAUUUUGAUUUUAAAUUUUAAAUUUGAAUUCAAAAUUUAAAAUUGAAUUUAAGAUUUGAUUUCUAAAUUUGAAUUUAAACUCGAAUUCAAAUUCACAUUUUGAAUUUGAAAUUUCAAAUCAAAGUUUGAAAUUAAAUUAGAAUUUACAAUUAAAAAUGUGAAUUUGAAUUUAAAAUUUAAAUUUUAAAAUUAAAUGCAAAAUGGGAUUUUGAAUUCAAAUUUAAAAUUGAAUCCAAAAUAAAAAUUUAAAUUUAAAAUUUAAAUCUUAAGUUAAAAAUCUUGUUUUGAAUUUAUAAAUUUAAUCGGUUAAUUACCCCAUUGGUCCCCAACCUUUGCACUGUUUUUCAAUUUGGCCUCCAAACUUUUUUUUUUGCAACCCGCUGACACAGCGCUUACGUGGCGCUGACAUGGCGCCUACAUGGCGUUGACAUGGUGCUGACGUGGCAUUUUCCAUUAAUUUUAACACUUUUCUGACGGCUGGGGCUUAAUUGUAAUGAAAUCAAGAGAUUAAGGACUUGAUUGCAAAAAAAAAAAAAGGUUGGGGACCAAAUUGAAAAAUGGUGCAAAGGUUGGGGAUCAAUGGUGUAAUUAACCCCGAUAUGGAGAGAGAAUACGAUACUAUAAAUAUGAGGACAAAAAAAGAUGACACAUAGAGAUAGAGGAUAGUUAUAGAGAGAGAAUAGAGGAUAGUUAUAGAGAGAGGAUAAUGAAACGGAGAAAGAAUACGAUACAA